GGAAGAUACAGAAGGCAGCUGGGCCUCAGUGGCAGUGGUGGCAUGGACCACACAGCCAUGGUGCUUUGGAGUAGGCAAAAAGUGAUGAGGGAGAAGUCCCUCAGAAACAAAAGGGCUAGCAGAGACACUUAGCCACAUCAGCUGCCGAGUACCUGCUUGUUAUAGAAUGGCCCAGUUGGAAAAGACCUUAAGAUCAUUGAGUCCAGACAUAACAUAGCAUGUCCCUGUAAACAGCUGUUAGAACCAGAGCUUCUCUCCUAGGCCUUUCCCUGUGGCUCCUGGAUGCCUCAGGCAGCACUAUGAACCUCCCAUGCUAUCCCCUUUUCCUCCUUAGCAGGCAGUGGGAGCUUUUCAUUCCCUUCCCCCCCUACCUUGCUUGCAGAGCUCGGCAGUUCAAAAUGGCUGAAUGCUCUUUGCAGGGCUUUUAGACAAUAUUCCCCAAAUCCUUUUUUCUUUUUUGCAUGGUGAAUCACCAGCUAGAUUUCGCUGUAGGCACAGCUCCUCCCCACUGCUGCGCCAGGAGGAGAUAGCAGGUGGUGGCUGCCAGGAGCAGGGUUCAGGUCUCUCCUCCUGAUUGAUGAGCUGCUUCUUACAACACUGGAAUACACCAAGACGGUUCUGUUUGAUUACACCCCAGGUAGCGUGGCUUCUGUAACUGAGAUGGUGAAUGAACUAAGUUGGAAUGAGCAAGUGUAUUAAUUAGUAUGCUGAUAGCAGAAUAAAGCUAUUUUUGAAUCACUGAGCAGCACUGCUCUUUACUAUGAUUGCAGGGAUUAUAUAAGAUGAUGAUUAAAAUCAGGUCCCUGCAUCACAGACUGAUCCAAGCUUUAGAAAUGUGAAAACAAAGCUGCAAAGGAAUGAGAAGAGACUGUGUUAUUUUAAAAGGCUCUCAGUUUGCCUGUCCUAAUUAAGGGAAAAGCAGCUAUGUCAUCAACCUCUCUUGUUGUCAUUCUAACUCAACAUACUGUUAUAUUUUGCUAGUAAGCCAUUUAUUUUUAAGGCUGGCUGCAUACGUCUGGAAAUGUCGGCUCAGGAGGAAUCUGCUGCAUCAUCCCACAACACAGAGAUGAGUUACAGGGUGUCCCUAACGGACAGCUUCUGACCCCUGAAGUGCUUCUGGCAGAAGUGGUUUCUUCCUGUUUGUUAAGGCAACUUCACCAGACUCGGCAAAUGCCAGCAGAAGGGUCAAAGGCACCCUCUUCACAGGGGAGCCCAUGAGAACAGAUGUUGUGUGAAGAAAGGAAGCCAGCUAGCUCUAGGCAGAUUGGAUUGCUCCAUCUAUUGAAAGAAGUCUGAACAGGCUGAUUUUAGCAUUGGUGAACAAAGACCAUUACUGAUUUCUGCAACAGUCCAAGGUAACCAUGGAAGGCAUGAAGGAUCUGAAGAACAGGCUACUUCCUAGGUACAAAGCAAUUCAAUCAAACAUUGGGAUCCAAUGCACCUCCUUUAGGAUUCCCUUCUCCCAUUAAGCUUCCCUCUGCUGCCAGGAUCUCCUAUCUAAUAGUGGUCAUCACCAGGAGAGUAGCACUGUACCUGAACGUCUCUCUGGAGCACUGUUUGUUCCUCUGGACACCACAAGUGGAAAGGGGAACGCAAUAUGAACAUGAUUUGGGCUUUGUUAAGCUGAUUGUGCCAAUGCUAAGCAAGAAAACGAAGACUAUACAGUUAAGAAUUUAUUAAAGGAAGUAUCUCCUAGUCCCUGUACCUAAGGAAAAACAACAAUUCAUGGAAGAUCUUUCAUCACCGCUUUCAAGGAAGCACUGGAUCUCAUACU